CAAAAGUACAACCCUGAACGGUGGAUCACUCGGCUCGUGGGUYGAUGAAGAACGCAGCAAAUUGCGCGUCGACAUGUGAACUGCAGGACACAUGAACAUCGACAUUUCGAACGCACAUUGCGGUCCAUGGAUUCCGUUCCCGGACCACGCCUGGCUGAGGGUCGGUAGCUAAAA
rnacentral:rRNA from 1 species